rnacentral:lncRNA from 1 species
GCGUGUAUUGUGUCAUUCCUCACAUAAAAGACUUCCAAAUUCUUUCCUUUUUUCUUUAGAACUCCUUAUUCUUAUGAUUUUAAAAUAUAAAAAAAAAUAUUAGUACCAAGUUCUUGGGUAGAUCAAUGUGAGCUUGAUAAAGAGCAUAGAUAGAAUAGACUGUUUACUUCAAUUUCUUCUGGGCUUCAUAUGAGUAACUAAGCGGUGACAGCAGCAACAACUCCAACCACACUUUGUGCCAAUACACUGCGGUCCUCCGAAGAUACCUUGGAGCCAGAAGCUGGGGUAAAACCAAGAUCAGAAAGUUUCUUGUGUGAUAAUUCAUAAUCUGUAAAGAAAGUACAAUUAAACAAGAUAAUGGCAGGAACUUGAAAUUACUAAAGGAUAAAAGACAAGAAGUGAGAGACAUGAAGUGAUGUAUAUAUGUGAAAGAAACAUGGAAUUACUAUAGUACAAAAAUGAGAAGGGAUGGAUAAGAAACUUAAAGGUCAGUUAGUUUACAAAUUGCAGGGUGCUGACACAGUUGGCUAUGUACAAUAACAUUUGGCAACAUGCACGUAAUGACUAUUCCAUUUCUAACUAAAAAAGAAAAAGAAAAGGCCUCGUUUGCCUCUCUUUUAUUUUUCCUUUUAUUCCAGAAAAAAAUCCGUUUCUUUUGAUGAUAGUAUAAAAUGACACAAUGUCCUUAAGUUUAUCACUACAAUUUUAUUAACAUGCAAUCAUUACUAAACUAAAUACCCAAUAAACUUAAGAGGAAAACAUGGGCAAAAAAUAUAUAUCCAUACAAUUUGUAAAUUUUACAAACAGGACUCUUUUGGGGAACAGAGGGAGUAGUAAUUUUCUAAUGGAACGAUAGGUCAUCGUUUGAUUUUACCUGAAAAAUAUUUACGUUUUACAGAAGUGAAGUGUGUGUGCAACAUCCAAAUUUAGUGGGAUGAGUUUCUCAAAUUUUAGUGAAACAGUAGCCAUCCUCAAGUGAAAUUGAUACCAUGACAGUGAUUAGCGUGUAUAGAACAGAUUUAUCGUCUAGGUGGACAAGAAGUUCACCAAACAAACAAAAAGUAAAAAGCAUAAAGCUUUUUGACAUAGGAACUAUUAAGAAAAAGCUACACCUCAAAGAGGAUGAUGAUGCUACCUUGGGGAUGUAAGUCUAGGAUAGUACCUUUGCAUACAGCUCAAAAUAAUGACGAAACUCAGGAUCAUUUCAGUAAGGUCGUGUCUGUUGGAAGUUUCAACAGCCCUUAUAAUUCCUCUUUAUGCAACUUC